rnacentral:rRNA from 1 species
CACGUAGGGGGCAAGCGUUGUCCGGAUUUAUUGGGCGUAAAGAGCUCGUAGGCGGUUCGGUAAGUCGGGUGUGAAACCUCCAGGCUCAACCUGGAGACGCCACCCGAUACUGCUGUGACUAGAGUCCGGUAGGGGAGCGUGGAAUUCCUGGUGUAGCGGUGAAAUGCGCAGAUAUCAGGAGGAACACCAGCGGCGAAGGCGGCGCUCUGGGCCGGAACUGACGCUGAGGAGCGAAAGCGUGGGUAGCAAACAGG